GAUGAACGCUGGCGGCGGGCCUAAUACAUGCAAGUCGAGCGAACAGACGAGGAGCUUGCACCUCUGACGUUAGCGGCGGACGGGUUAGUCACACGUGGAUAACCUAUCUAUAAGACUGGGAUAACUUCGGGAAACCGGAGCUAGUACCGGGUAAUAUAUUGAACCGAUUGGUUCAAGAGGGAAAGACGGUUUUGCUGUCUCUUAUAGAUGGAUCCGCGCCGCAUUAGCUAGUUGGUAAGGUAACGGCAUACCAAGGCAACGAUGGUUAGCGGCCCUGAGAGCGUGAACGGCUAGCCUGGAACAGAGGAACAGCACAGACUCCUACGGGAAGCAGCAGCAGAGAAUCUUACGCGAGGCGGGAAAGCCUGACAGAGCAACGCCGCGUGAGUGAUGAACGUCUUAGGAUGGUAAAGCUCUGUUAGUCGGGAAGAACAAAUGUGUAAGUACCUAUGCACAUAUUGACGGUAGCUGGUGAGAAAGCCACGGCUAACUACGUG
rnacentral:rRNA from 1 species